AUUGAACGCUGGCGGCAUGCUUUACACAUGCAAGUCGAACGGCAGCACGGACUUCGGUCUGGUGGCGAGUGGGGAACGGGUGAGUAAUACAUCGGAACGUGCCCAGUUGUGGGGGAUAACUACUCGAAAGAGUAGCUAAUACCGCAUGAGAACUGAGGUUGAAAGCAGGGGAUCGUAAGACCUUGCGCAACUGGAGCGGCCGAUGGCAGAUUAGGUAGUUGGUGGGAUAAAAGCUUACCAAGCCGACGAUCUGUAGCUGGUCUGAGAGGACGACCAGCCACACUGGGACUGAGACACGGCCCAGACUCCUACGGGAGGCAGCAGUGGGGAAUUUUGGACAAUGGGCGAAAGCCUGAUCCAGCAAUGCCGCGUGCAGGAUGAAGGCCCUCGGGUUGUAAACUGCUUUUGUACGGAACGAAAAGCUUCGGGUUAAUACCCUGGAGUCAUGACGGUACCGUAAGAAUAAGCACCGGCUAACUACGUGCCAGCCGCCGCGGUAACAC
rnacentral:rRNA from 1 species